AAUUCAAGUCAUGCAGGCUGUGAGAAACGCGGGGUCGCGGUUCCUGCGGUCCUGGACUUGGCCCCAGACAGCCGGCAGGGUCGUGGCCAGAACGCCGGCCGGGACCAUCUGCACAGGCGCUCGACAGCUCCAAGACGCUGCGGCCAAGCAGAAAGUUGAACAGAACGCGGCUCCCAGCCACACCAAGUUCAGGGACAAGGAAGAUGGGGAGUAUGCAUGAAAAUCCCUUCUCAUAGCGGAAAGUCCCCAGAUGUGUCUGAAGUCAGCAAGUCAAGAAACAGCAUCAUAAGCACAGCAGUCACACAUGCGGUGGUGGCACCAGAAGGACUGAAAAGGAAUGGUGGGGGCAGCCACUUAAGAAGCAGCAGGGGGCACAGAGCUGUUAUUUUUUAACCAUGUGUUGUAUUUCUUUGAUUUUUAAAAAGUCGAGACAAUUUUAAAUAAAAUCUUUCUUCUAA
rnacentral:lncRNA from 10 species